UACGUAGGGGGCAAGCGUUGUCCGGAAUUAUUGGGCGUAAAGAGCGCGUAGGCGGUCCGGUAAGUCGGUUGUGAAAGUCGGGGGGCUCAACCCUCGGAUGCCGAUCGAUACUGUCGGGCUAGAGUCCGGAAGAGGCGAGUGGAAUUCCUGGUGUAGCGGUGAAAUGCGCAGAUAUCAGGAGGAACACCGGUGGCGAAGGCGGGUCUCUGGGCCGAUACUGACGCUGAGGAGCGAAAGCGUGGGGAGCGAACAGG
rnacentral:rRNA from 1 species